rnacentral:pre_miRNA from 1 species
AGUGAGAUUGCUAGAUUUUAUGGUAAGCAUAAAUUUAACUUUAAAAGAAACUGCCAAACUAUUUUCCAGAGUGGCCACACCAUUUUACAUUCCUAACAGCAAU